rnacentral:rRNA from 1 species
GGAGCAGCCCAGAGCCUGAAUCAGUGUGUGUGUUAGUGGAAGCGUCUGGAAAGGCGUGCGAUACAGGGUGACAGCCCCGUACACAAAAAUGCACAUACUGUGAGCUCGAUGAGUAGGGCGGGACACGUGGUAUCCUGUCUGAAUAUGGGGGGACCAUCCUCCAAGGCUAAAUACUCCUGACUGACCGAUAGUGAACCAGUACCGUGAGGGAAAGGCGAAAAGAACCCCGGCGAGGGGAGUGAAAAAGAACCUGAAACCGUGUACGUACAAGCAGUGGGAGCACGCUUAGGCGUGUGACUGCGUACCUUUUGUAUAAUGGGUCAGCGACUUAUAUUCUGUAGCAAGGUUAACCGAAUAGGGGAGCCGAAGGGAAACCGAGUCUUAACUGGGCGUUAAGUUGCAGGGUAUAGACCCGAAACCCGGUGAUCUAGCCAUGGGCAGGUUGAAGGUUGGGUAACACUAACUGGAGGACCGAACCGACUAAUGUUGAAAAAUUAGCGGAUGACUUGUGGCUGGGGGUGAAAGGCCAAUCAAACCGGGAGAUAGCUGGUUCUCCCCGAAAGCUAUUUAGGUAGCGCCUCGUGAAUUCAUCUCCGGGGGUAGAGCACUGUUUCGGCAAGGGGGUCAUCCCGACUUACCAACCCGAUGCAAACUGCGAAUACCGGAGAAUGUUAUCACGGGAGACACACGGCGGGUGCUAACGUCCGUCGUGAAGAGGGAAACAACCCAGACCGCCAGCUAAGGUCCCAAAGUCAUGGUUAAGUGGGAAACGAUGUGGGAAGGCCCAGACAGCCAGGAUGUUGGCUUAGAAGCAGCCAUCAUUUAAAGAAAGCGUAAUAGCUCACUGGUCGAGUCGGCCUGCGCGGAAGAUGUAACGGGGCUAAACCAUGCACCGAAGCUGCGGCAGCGACGCUUAUGCGUUGUUGGGUAGGGGAGCGUUCUGUAAGCCUGUGAAGGUGUGCUGUGAGGUAUGCUGGAGGUAUCAGAAGUGCGAAUGCUGACAUAAGUAACGAUAAAGCGGGUGAAAAGCCCGCUCGCCGGAAGACCAAGGGUUCCUGUCCAACGUUAAUCGGGGCAGGGUGAGUCGACCCCUAAGGCGAGGCCGAAAGGCGUAGUCGAUGGGAAACAGGUUAAUAUUCCUGUACUUGGUGUUACUGCGAAGGGGGGACGGAGAAGGCUAUGUUGGCCGGGCGACGGUUGUCCCGGUUUAAGCGUGUAGGCUGGUUUUCCAGGCAAAUCCGGAAAAUCAAGGCCGAGGCGUGAUGACGAGGCACUACGGUGCUGAAGCAACAAAUGCCCUGCUUCCAGGAAAAGCCUCUAAGCAUCAGGUAACAUCAAAUCGUACCCCAAACCGACACAGGUGGUCAGGUAGAGAAUACCAAGGCGCUUGAGAGAACUCGGGUGAAGGAACUAGGCAAAAUGGUGCCGUAACUUCGGGAGAAGGCACGCUGAUACGUAGGUGAAGCGACUUGCUCGUGGAGCUGAAAUCAGUCGAAGAUACCAGCUGGCUGCAACUGUUUAUUAAAAACACAGCACUGUGCAAACACGAAAGUGGACGUAUACGGUGUGACGCCUGCCCGGUGCCGGAAGGUUAAUUGAUGGGGUUAGCGCAAGCGAAGCUCUUGAUCGAAGCCCCGGUAAACGGCGGCCGUAACUAUAACGGUCCUAAGGUAGCGAAAUUCCUUGUCGGGUAAGUUCCGACCUGCACGAAUGGCGUAAUGAUGGCCAGGCUGUCUCCACCCGAGACUCAGUGAAAUUGAACUCGCUGUGAAGAUGCAGUGUACCCGCGGCAAGACGGAAAGACCCCGUGAACCUUUACUAUAGCUUGACACUGAACAUUGAGCCUUGAUGUGUAGGAUAGGUGGGAGGCUUUGAAGUGUGGACGCCAGUCUGCAUGGAGCCGACCUUGAAAUACCACCCUUUAAUGUUUGAUGUUCUAACGUGGACCCGUGAUCCGGGUUGCGGACAGUGUCUGGUGGGUAGUUUGACUGGGGCGGUCUCCUCCUAAAGAGUAACGGAGGAGCACGAAGGUUGGCUAAUCCUGGUCGGACAUCAGGAGGUUAGUGCAAUGGCAUAAGCCAGCUUGACUGCGAGCGUGACGGCGCGAGCAGGUGCGAAAGCAGGUCAUAGUGAUCCGGUGGUUCUGAAUGGAAGGGCCAUCGCUCAACGGAUAAAAGGUACUCCGGGGAUAACAGGCUGAUACCGCCCAAGAGUUCAUAUCGACGGCGGUGUUUGGCACCUCGAUGUCGGCUCAUCACAUCCUGGGGCUGAAGUAGGUCCCAAGGGUAUGGCUGUUCGCCAUUUAAAGUGGUACGCGAGCUGGGUUUAGAACGUCGUGAGACAGUUCGGUCCCUAUCUGCCGUGGGCGCUGGAGAACUGAGGGGGGCUGCUCCUAGUACGAGAGGACCGGAGUGGACGCAUCACUGGUGUUCGGGUUGUCAUGCCAAU